rnacentral:rRNA from 1 species
UUUUUGAUUUUAAUUUAAAGUCAAAUCUGCCCACUGAUUAAUAUUAAAGGGCUGCAGUAUAUUGACUGUACAAAGGUAGCAUAAUAAAUAGUCUUUUAAUUGAAGACUUGUAUGAAAGAUUUGAUGAGAUAUAAACUGUCUCUUUUUUAUAUUUAGAAUUUAAUUUUUUAGUAAAAAAGCUAAAAUUAUUUUAAAAGACGAGAAGACCCUAUAGAGUUUUAUAGUUAAUUUAUUUAUAAAUUUAUAUGUAAAAUUUAAAAUUUAAUUAAUUUAAUUAUUUUGUUGGGGUGAUAGAAAAAUAUAUUAAACUUUUUUUAAAAAAUUACAUUAAUUAAUGAGUAUAUGAUCCAUAAAUUAUGAUUAAAAGAAAAAAUUACCUUAGGGAUAACAGCGUAAUUUUUUUUUUUAGUUCUUAUAGGAAAAAGAGUUUGCGACCUCGAUGUUGGAUUAAGAUAAAAUUUAAAUGUAGAAGUUUAAAAUUUUUGAUCUGUUCGAUCAUUAAAAUCUUACAUGAUCUGA